rnacentral:rRNA from 1 species
ACUCCUACGGGAGGCAGCAGUGGGGAAUCUUGCGCAAUGGGCGAAAGCCUGACGCAGCGACGCCGCGUGAGGGAUGACGGCCUUCGGGUUGUAAACCUCUUUCAGCCCUGACGAAGCGAAAGUGACGGUAGGGGCAGAAGAAGCACCGGCCAACUACGUGCCAGCAGCCGCGGUAAUACGUAGGGUGCGAGCGUUGUCCGGAAUUAUUGGGCGUAAAGAGCUCGUAGGCGGUUUGUCGCGUCGGCUGUGAAAACUCGGGGCUCAACCCCGAGCUUGCAGUCGAUACGGGCAAGCUAGAGUUCGGCAGGGGAGACUGGAAUUCCUGGUGUAGCGGUGAAAUGCGCAGAUAUCAGGAGGAACACCGGUGGCGAAGGCGGGUCUCUGGGCCGAUACUGACGCUGAGGAGCGAAAGCGUGGGGAGCGAACAGGAUUAGAUACCCUGGUAGUCCACGCCGUAAACGUUGGGCGCUAGGUGUGGGAUCCCUUCCACGGGUUCCGUGCCGCAGCUAACGCAUUAAGCGCCCCGCCUGGGGAGUACGGCCGCAAGGCUAAAACUCAAAGGAAUUGACGGGGGCCCGCACAAGCGGCGGAGCAUGUGGAUUAAUUCGAUGCAACGCGAAGAACCUUACCUGGGUUUGACAUACACCGGAAAGCCGUGGAGACACGGCCCCCGCAAGGUCGGUGUACAGGUGGUGCAUGGCUGUCGUCAGCUCGUGUCGUGAGGUGUUGGGUUAAGUCCCGCAACGAGCGCAACCCUUGUCCUAUGUUGCCAGCGGGUUAUGCCGGGGACUCAUGGGAGACUGCCGGGGUCAACUCGGA